rnacentral:rRNA from 1 species
GACGAACGCUGGCGGCGUGCCUAAUACAUGCAAGUAGAGCGCUGAAGGAGGAGCUUGCUCUUCUGGAUGAGUUGCGAACGGGUGAGUAACGCGUAGGUAACCUGCCUGGUAGCGGGGGAUAACUAUUGGAAACGAUAGCUAAUACCGCAUAACAGUAGAUGUUGCAUGACAUUUACUUAAAAGGUGCAAUUGCAUCACUACCAGAUGGACCUGCGUUGUAUUAGCUAGUUGGUGGGGUAACGGCUCACCAAGGCGACGAUACAUAGCCGACCUGAGAGGGUGAUCGGCCACACUGGGACUGAGACACGGCCCAGACUCCUACGGGAGGCAGCAGUAGGGAAUCUUCGGCAAUGGACGGAAGUCUGACCGAGCAACGCCGCGGGAGUGAAGAAGGUUGUCGGAUCGUAAAGCUCUGUUGUAAGAGAAGAACGAGUGUGAGAGUGGAAAGUUCACACUGUGACGGUAGCUUACCAGAAAGGGACGGCUAACUACGUG